rnacentral:tRNA from 1 species
GCCCCCCUGGCGGAACUGGUAGACGCGCCAGACUCAAAAUCUGGUUCUCGCAAGGGAGUGCCGGUUCGAUUCCGGCGGGGGGCACCA